rnacentral:lncRNA from 1 species
GCCAAGAUUAAAUCUCAGGAUCUGCUCAGCAAGAAGAAGGAGGAGCUGUUGAAACAACUGGACAAUCUGAAGGUAGAACUGUCCCAGUUUAGUGUUGCCAAAGUGAUAGGCACCGCCUCCAAGCUCUCCAAGAUACAAGUAGUACCCAAAUCCAUUGCCCAUGCCCUCACUGUCAUUAACCAGACCUAAAAGGAAAACCUCAGAAAAUUCUACAAGAGCAAAAAGUGAAAGCCCCUGGACCUACGACCCAAGAAGAUUAGAGCCAUGUGUGGACAACGCACCAAGCACAAAGAGAAGCUGAAGAUCAGUAAGUAGCAGAAGGAGCAGCUGUACCCACUUCAUAAGUAUGCAGUCAAGGCC